GACGAACGCUGGCGGCGUGCUUAACACAUGCAAGUCGAACGGAAAGGCCCUGCUUUUGUGGGGUGCUCGAGUGGCGAACGGGUGAGUAACACGUGAGUAACCUGCCCUUGACUUUGGGAUAACUUCAGGAAACUGGGGCUAAUACCGGAUAGGAGCUCCUGCUGCAUGGUGGGGGUUGGAAAGUUUCGGCGGUUGGGGAUGGACUCGCGGCUUAUCAGCUUGUUGGUGGGGUAGUGGCUUACCAAGGCUUUGACGGGUAGCCGGCCUGAGAGGGUGACCGGCCACAUUGGGACUGAGAUACGGCCCAGACUACGACGGGAAGCAGCAGUGGGGAAUAUUGAACAAUGGGCGGAAGCCUGAUGCAGCAACGCCGCGUGCGGGAUGACGGCCUUCGGGUUGUAAACCGCUUGCGCCUGUGACGAAGCGUGAGUGACGGUAAUGGGUAAAGAAGCACCGGCUAACUACGUG
rnacentral:rRNA from 1 species